UACGUAGGGUGCGAGCGUUGUCCGGAAUUAUUGGGCGUAAAGGGCUCGUAGGCGGUUUGUCGCGUCGGGAGUGAAAUCCACUGGCUUAACUGGUGGCGUGCGGGCGAUACGGGCAGACUGGAGUACUGCAGGGGAGACUGGAAUUCCUGGUGUAGCGGUGGAAUGCGCAGAUAUCAGGAGGAACACCGGUGGCGAAGGCGGGUCUCUGGGCAGUAACUGACGCUGAGGAGCGAAAGCGUGGGGAGCGAACAGG
rnacentral:rRNA from 1 species